rnacentral:lncRNA from 1 species
GGAAGGUUCUGGGGUCUACAGCAGGGACAUGUAUGUCUCAGUUCCUUUAACAGUCUGUGAAACUGGACAAAACUGUACAACAGCAGCAAAAGAAAUUUCCAGCUGAACAAGCCAUUAUGGCAACAGAAGUGUUGUUCCCUCACUGGCUUUGGCACCAAGGGAAAUAACAGCAAUGGUUCUUCACUUCCACAGCAGGGAAGUAGUUGGGCAGUGUGCUGGUGGCACAGAAGAUUGCAUGCACAGGGGAUUUCAGAGAUGUAUCUGGAUGUUGAUUUUGUGAGAGACAGAAAGACAAUCCCACAUGAUUUUUAGCACUGUGCACAUGCCCAGCAUUACAAGCCAGGCAGUUCUGUUAUGGCAAAACAUGGCUGGUGUUUUCACCAAGUGAAAACAUUAGCUGGGUUAUCAUCCAUAUAAUGAUGAUAGACAUUUAGCCGUGUCUCUUUCUCUGAGACCUCUCACCUAAGUCUAAACUGUGGUCAAGAUCAAGUUCUUGCUAUUUAUUUUUUUUCAAUUGUGGAUGACAGAAGUAGGGAGAACACCUAUCUGCCACUUGUUGAAGAGUCCUUAUCUGCUGAGUAAAAGGCCUGUGUCUAUUCAUCACAGAUUUACCAUGCUACAAGUGCUCUUCAGUGAAGAAGAUUGAGCUGCUUCACAGAGUAAAGAAAGCACAACAGAAAUUCAAAGAGUGUAGACAUGAGUAACAAGAAAUCUGACUAGUCAAAAAGCGUCAUAUUAAAAACCCAGCAAAAGCAGAAUAGCACUGCAAUGGCACUGCAGGCCAAGUUAAAUGGCUAACAGCUAGGAAAGGAGCAAGCAACCCAGUAAGUGGAUUAGGUGAGGAGUUCAGAUGGUAAGGGCCUACUCUGAACACAAAAAGUGGUUGCCAAAUAAAUUUCCAAAAACUUCCCUCAAGAAUAGCAAAGUUACUGGUCAUGACAGCUGCCCCAGGCAGAGAGGACGUUGGAUCAGCAAUAAAAGACAAAGUCAUAGUUAAGAAAAAUGCUUCAGAUGCCCAACAAUGGCUUGUUUCAUGCAGAUUUUGUCCAGAUGGAUGGAAGCAGCUGAACUGCCAUGCUUUCAGAAGCUAUCAUCUCCCAGCUGAGUCCCUCAGAAAAAUCCCCUUUCCUCACACACAUGCACAUGUACUCAUGCAGUAAAAGCCAUUCUGGAGGUUUAAUAAUACAAGCAACAAUUCUAAUAGUUUUUGUGGUUUUCUUUAUGCAUACUCAGUGCUACCUGGAUUUCAUUUGGAUGAUGUAGGGAACUUGUUUCUGUUAAAUUCUAUUAAUUGUAAAACAGAAUGUUGUUAUACUGAUAUACUGUUAAUUAAAAAUAACUAGAAAAAUGCAAUAUGUGUUAUAUUGACUGGGGGAUUUCUAAUCCACAAUUGUCAUUUGUUUUAUUCUAACUUAAGAAGUUUUUGUACUGAAAAUGUAAUCAUUAUUGUUUGGAAGGAAAAGAACUCCUGCAGUAACUGAUGGAACUGCUCAGUAUUUUAUUAAAUAUAAGGGUCAGAAAGCUUGGAAAACAUAAUCAUUAAGUUUGUAUGUGUGUAUGGAAUACUAUUCUCGGCACAUAUUUGUCAGGUAAGGAGGUGAUGGAAGCUUCGCUACCUGUGUCAGUGCUUAGUAAUGCUCCCAUGACAUAGACCGACAAGAAAUCAUAGCUCCUGCUGAACUUCUUAAUGCCCUGAAUACAGCAGGGACUUUCUUAUCAUUCCUUUCCUACAUUGUCUAAUACACAUUUCUGAGAACUGAGGGUAUGCUCAAAAAAUAAACAGCAACAAAUUAUCA